AACUGUACAAAGGUAGCAUAAUCAUUUGUCUUUUAAUUGAAGGCUUGAAUGAAUGGUUGGACGAGAAAUUUUCUUUUUUUAUUUAAAUAUAUGAAUUUAAUUUUUUAGUCAAAAAGCUGAAAUUUAUUUGGGGGACGAGAAGACCCUAUAGAAUUUUAUUUUAAAAUAUAAAUUUUAUAUUUAUAUAUUAAUUAUUUUAUUUUUAUUUUAAAUUUUAAUUGGGGUGAUUUUGAAAUUUAUUUAACUUUCAUUUUUUAAUAUUCAUUAAUUUAUGUUUUUAGGAUCCUAUAUUAUGGAUUAUAAGAUUAAAUUACCUUAGGGAUAACAGCGUAAUUCUUUUGGAGAGUUCAUAUCGAUAUAAGAGUUUGCGACCUCGAUGUUGGAUUAAAAUUAGAUUUAGGUGCAGAAGCUUAAACUUCUAGGUCUGUUCGACCUUUAAAUUUUUACA
rnacentral:rRNA from 1 species